rnacentral:rRNA from 1 species
AUUGAACGCUGGCGGCAUGCCUUACACAUGCAAGUCGAACGGCAGCACGGGUGCUUGCACCUGGUGGCGAGUGGCGAACGGGGAGUAAUACAUCGGAACAUGUCCUGUAGUGGGGGAUAGCCCGGCGAAAGCCUGAUUAAUACCGCAUACGAUCUACGGAUGAAAGCGGGGGACCUUCGGGCCUCGCGCUAUAGGGUUGGCCGAUAGCUGAUUAGCUAGUUGGUGGGGUAAAGGCCUACCAAGGCGACGAUCAGUAGCUGGUCUGAGAGGACGACCAGCCACACUGGGACUGAGACACGGCCCAGACUCCUACGGGAGGCAGCAGUGGGGAAUUUUGGACAAUGGGCGAAAGCCUGAUCCAGCAAUGCCGCGUGUGUGAAGAAGGCCUUCGGGUUGUAAAGCACUUUUGUCCGGAAAGAAAUCCUUGGCUCUAAUACAGUCGGGGGAUGACGGUACCGGAAGAAUAAGCACCGGCUAACUACGUG